GUGAAUCAUCAAAUUUUUGAACGCAAAUUGCGCUUCCUGGUAUUCCGGGGAGUAUGCCUGUCUGAGGGUCAGUAUUAAUAAAAAAUCGGUUUAUUUACAAAUUGUGAGGUUUCCGGAGUUUGGUCUAUCUUAAUAUUUUUGGUUAAGAGGCUUAAAAUUGAGCUUUUUUGCUUAUUUAUAAACGUAAAUAAAUUUUUUUUAUUUGUCUAUUCUUAAUGCUAAAAUUGUAUUAGUUGAGAUUACAUCGUGUGGCUUUGUGUUCAUAA
rnacentral:misc_RNA from 1 species